GUUUCAGUCUCCUAAAACUCCGCAAUCAGGAACACACUCUCCUGCUCAAAGCUCAGCUGUUGCUCACCGUUUUUUGGGGAAAUGUGGCGUAAUGUUUAGGAAAACCUGGCAUGAGAGCAAGCUGGUUCUCGUCGGUACCAUCUUUACCAUCCCACCUUCAGAAGUGGCAUGUCAUCUUUGUGUAACCUAUUGCCGAGACUGGUAUGGCUUUCUGAGUGCACCUUUUACAUGGGACCUGCUCCUUCUCCUCCCCCUCUGUUUCUUUUAUGCACACAUGUGGGCCAGAGCAGGCUUUUUGACAGAUGAGAAUUAAACAAAUGUAUCUGCUGGAGCUGGAGAAUAUUACACCCCUGGGACUUCAUUUACCUCCCGCAUAUUCCAGGGAGUUCCUCUCUGUUUUACUGCCCCACAUAAUCUACAUCAGCUAUACUCACACAGAGGACUGGCUCAGGCUCCAGCAGCACUGCUGACAUCAUUAUUACCAAGAUCAUUAUAGGCAGCAGGGAGAGCUU